rnacentral:misc_RNA from 1 species
AAGUCGUAACAAGGUUUCCGUAGGUGAACCUGCGGAAGGAUCAUUACUGAAGUUAGGGUCUCUUCGGGGGCCCAACCUUCCAACCUCUGCCUACUAUUCUCUGUUGCUUUGGCGAGACGUCCUUAACCGGCCACCGGCCUCGGCUGGUGCGCGCUCGCCAGGGAAAAACCAAAAACCUUUUAUACAUGUCGUCUGAAAACAAACAAAUAAUUAAAACCUUCAACAACGGAUCUCUUGGCUCUG